ensembl:lncRNA
CAAACCACUUGGGUGUCUUGACCACAGUACACAUAAUCAUGUCUUUUCUUUUCUCUCUUACUACAGGCUUUUUACAAUGUAUAAUGUACUGCACAACUAAAUUGCCCAAACAAGUUCUAGCUUUUGUGAGGGAAAAUAACCUUGAAAUGACGGGUACAUGAAUUGAUCCUGGCAAAAACAUAAAAAUGGCACCCAAGCAAAAUACACAAAUAAGACCAUUCAAAGCUCACGGCAGAAAAGAUGGCACAGGUGUGGAAGGUCGUCGAAUUCAAAGAUAGGAGCACUACCAUAGUGCCAAGCAGCUGGUUGGAGGAGGCAGGGGAGUCAUGGAAUUGUUUCUGGCCUCCUAGUUCUUACGAUCAUAACCGCCUCCAGAAGGCAGUCGCGCACCACCUUCCUCCAGGUGCAGCGUGGGACGUGCACGGUGACGUGAGGGUCUUGGUUAGCUGUGCAACAUAUGUAAAGGCAAAGGACUACCUGAAAAAGUCCUUACUGUGUUUAACAUCAGACAUAGUCAGAGGCUGAAGACCCUAUCAGAAGGAAAAAAAGGCCAAACUCACGCUACCUGCAGGAGCCAGCUGGAAGAGUCCAGACCACUACGGGCCCGCCGCAACACUUUUUUGAAGGUGUGGACACUGAUGACGAGGCACCACCCCCCCCAAGAAAAACAGCACGACAAUCUGUAGAUGUAGGGCCAGACAUCAAUAGUGAGUGGCUAUUUGGGCCAUCGACCACCCAAAGAGCUCAAUCAAAUGGCAGCCAGAGACUUGAGCUACUACAUCUAGAUACAGUCCAACCAAGCCACCAGCUAUUGCAUGAUAUGGGAAUAUCUAAAGUCGUGGAGCUGCUUUCCAAAGUGCUGGAAGAAAAUAAAUUGAUGAAAGCGGAAAUUACCAACCUGGGGAGUGAAGUGAGGGCGCUUAGGAGAGAGAUGGUGAGGCCGGUAGCACCAGAAGCUGCCGCUUCGUCCAUCAAGCUGCCUCUGAGGACAAUGGAGGAGUUUCAAUUAGCAGAGGCUGUUAUGAGAGAAACCCCCUGCGAAAAACAAAAGAUGAUCUUAACAUUCAGUCUAAUUGGAGGGCACACUGCAGAAGAGGCCGUAAGAAGGAUGUUGCAGAGUGGCCUAACAAAAAACCUGGCGUGUCGCUUCAACUGGGCAGGGAAAGGCUUCAAGGAAGCCUUUAAAAGCACUGUCCUUAGUGAUGUACUGUUCGCUGCACUCCAAAAACAGCUGCCAGGGACCACCCAUAUUGUUUUUUCAGGGACACUGAAGAAGUGGCUUAAAUAUGCACCGGAGAGAGAGGGAGGUGGAGGGAGGCGAACAAAUGAACGCGAUCAGGUAGGCCUAUGUACGCUUGUUCCACACACCAUGCGUCCUUCGACGGAUGAGCGUCGCGAGUGCGACUCUGAACCAUGGACAGGUCUGAACGGACGGACCCAAAAUGCAUUUCGAGAGCGCAAUGCUAUGGAGCCAGUUUCCUGCCAUAAUUCCAACCUGAAAAAAAAAGUUUCAAAGGGUUAUACACUAAAAUUCAAACAUCUGUAAACAUGAUUUGUGUUCUAUUUUAUCUUCAUCAUUUUCACCAACACAUUUUCAAAGUUCAAACAAUAUCACCAG